GACGAACGCUGGCGGCGUGCUUAACACAUGCAAGUCGAACGGAAAGGCCCUGCUUUUGUGGGGUGCUCGAGUGGCGAACGGGUGAGUAACACGUGAGUAACCUGCCCUUGACUUUGGGAUAACUUCAGGAAACUGGGGCUAAUACCGGAUAGGAGCUCCUGCUGCAUGGUGGGGGUUGGAAAGUUUCGGCGGUUGGGGAUGGACUCGCGGCUUAUCAGCUUGUUGGUGGGGUAGUGGCUUACCAAGGCUUUGACGGGUAGCCGGCCUGAGAGGGUGACCGGCCACAUUGGGACUGAGAUACGGCCCAGACUCCUACGGGAGGCAGCAGUGGGGAAUAUUGCACAAUGGGCGGAAGCCUGAUGCAGCAACGCCGCGUGCGGGAUGACGGCCUUCGGGUUGUAAACCGCUUUCGCCUGUGACGAAGCGUGAGUGACGGUAAUGGGUAAAGAAGCACCGGCUAACUACGUGCCAGCAGCCGCGGUGAUACGUAGGGUGCGAGCGUUGUCCGGAUUUAUUGGGCGUAAAGGGCUCGUAGGUGGUUGAUCGCGUCGGAAGUGUAAUCUUGGGGCUUAACCCUGAGCGUGCUUUCGAUACGGGUUGACUUGAGGAAGGUAGGGGAGAAUGGAAUUCCUGGUGGAGCGGUGGAAUGCGCAGAUAUCAGGAGGAACACCAGUGGCGAAGGCGGUUCUCUGGGCCUUUCCUGACGCUGAGGAGCGAAAGCGUGGGGAGCGAACAGGCUUAGAUACCCUGAUAGUCCACGCUGUAAACGGUGGGUACUAGGUGUGGGGUCCAUUCCACGGGUUCCGUGCCGUAGCUAACGCUUUAAGUACCCCGCCUGGGGAGUACGGCCGCAAGGCUAAAACUCAAAGGAAUUGACGGGGCCCCGCACAAGCGGCGGAGCAUGCGGAUUAAUUCGAUGCAACGCGUAGAACCUUACCUGGGUUUGACAUGGAUCGGGAGUGCUCAGAGAUGGGUGUGCCUCUUUUGGGGUCGGUUCACAGGUGGUGCAUGGCUGUCGUCAGCUCGUGUCGUGAGAUGUUGGGUUAAGUCCCGCAACGAGCGCAACCCUUGUUCACUGUUGCCAGCACGUUAUGGUGGGGACUCAGUGGAGACCGCCGGGGUCAACUCGGAGGAAGGUGGGGAUGACGUCAAGUCAUCAUGCCCCUUAUGUCCAGGGCUUCACGCAUGCUACAAUGGCUGGUACAGAGAGUGGCGAGCCUGUGAGGGUGAGCGAAUCUCGGAAAGCCGGUCUCAGUUCGGAUUGGGGUCUGCAACUCGACCUCAUGAAGUCGGAGUCGCUAGUAAUCGCAGAUCAGCAACGCUGCGGUGAAUACGUUCCCGGG
rnacentral:rRNA from 1 species